rnacentral:lncRNA from 1 species
GAGAAUGGGCAGCUUUCUCAUUCAUCUUUCAGGAAGGUGACCUUUAACUUGUGGCAUGCCCUGAGAAGCCAUCCUCUGGGACCAGAGACUGAGUGUUUCUAAACAUUUUGGCUGGACUGAGGUGCUGUUACCACCCUCCAUGAAGGCCACUCCCUAGUGACAGCCCUAACAGCAUGUGCACUGUCUAAAUCACAUCCCACCAUCCUGAAAACUUCAUUUCCUCCCACUGGUUUCCUUCAUACAGCUAUUCUAACAAUUUUACCAGAACACCACCUGAAGAUGCCCA